rnacentral:misc_RNA from 1 species
GUCAUCUACACCCUCAAGCUCUGCUUGGUGUUGGGCGUCUGUCCCGCCUCGGCGCGCGGACUCGCCCCAAAGGCAUUGGCAGCGGUCCACGGCCCCUCUCGCGCAGCACAUUGCGCUUCUCGAGGCGGCCCGGCCCGCAUCCACGAAGCCACAUUACCGUCUUUGACCUCGGAUCAGGUAGGGAUACCCGCUGAACUUAA